AAAGCGACCAAAAGUAUGUUAUUUUUCCUUUUAAUAUUAGGAUGUUAUUGUCAUAAAAUAUUGGCUUUUUCGUGUUAGUUCGCAACUUCUUAUUAGAAUAUUUUGGCUUUAUUCUUGUAGAAUGACUGCAGAUUUUUUCAUUUUUGCUGUUUUGUAGUAUUCUUGUUAUAGUCAAUUUUUUAGAAUGUGCCAUGGGCCCGAAAUGGACCCCGGGGCGCACCUUGGACACCCCAGCAAUACGCUUUGCACCGGGAGAAGACUUGCUUGUAUAUUGCAUUUGUACGUUCAUGCUUUUGGAGUUGUAUUUUGUGAAAUAAACGUUUUUUUGGUGAAGUGCAUGCAAGUGGCCCAAUCAUUUUCUCCACAAAUAGCCAGUAUAGUUUUUAAAAGUAAAAAUUCUGAAGACGUACCUGGAAUGAUGUGAUUCAUGAAUGACAACAUUACGCUAUGUUUGUCAUCCAGAAAGUGUAACAUGCCCCCAGCGCCGAUGCGGUGUUCUUAACGGUGACAAACGCUACAAAAAAUGCAGCAGUGAGUAUUGCUGACAGCUUUAAUGACAAUAGCGCAUAAACAGGAAGAAGCAGACGACGUGGUUGGCAUCUCAGCGAGCCCAUCCGUCUUAGAGGCACGUGGCCGUUUCCUUGGAGGGGCACAUUUGGCCGAAGCAGAUCUCCUUGAAGCCGGUCGCCUUGGUCAUCCCGCUGGCUGUAUGGUUGUAGAGGAGGCAGUAGUCGUUGGGGCUGCUGGCGGUGGUGUUGACUGAGGAGCUGCUAGACGCCUGCCAGGGAAGGACACAAGGAUGGAGGGUUUUCAUGUACGUCCACAAGAACUUUGGGGAGGACGGUGGGCUGAACUGGAAGGUGAUUUGGUUGGUUUUGUUGGUGUUGGGCGACGUGUGCGUCAUCUGGAGGACGGAGGGCGAGUACUUCACAAACUAAACAACACAACAACACAACUUGUCACACAACAACUUUCUUGCACUCCCUUGGAGCACAUUGUCACGUAUCACUAACUGUAACUAAAUGUGUUUAUUAUUUUGUAUUUUUAAUCUUGCAGACAGAAAUACAUUUGCAUACUGUGAUCAACUUUGUAUUUUUUAAGUAUUGUUAUACUUUGAAUGUUGAUGAACUGUUUAUAUUUAUUACUAUUUCUGUAUAGUUACAUUUUUGGUAUUAUAAUUAUUUACAGA